AGGAGUUGUGAAAAUGGGUGUCACUUUGGUGGGUGUGGUUGUCACUCCCAGGACUAAGACAAAAUGUUUAAUUUUAGUCACAUUUUCCCAUAGUCAGGAAAAACUAAAGGGUUGUGAAAAUGGGUGUCACUUUGGUGGGUGUGGUCGUCACUCCCAGGACUCAGACGAAAUGUUUAAUUUUAGUCACAUUUUCCUAUAGUCAGCAAAAACUAAAGGGUUGUGAAAAUGGGUGUCACUUUGGUGGGUGUGGUUGUCACUCCCAGGACUCAGACGAAAUGUUUAAUUUUAGUCAUAUUUUCCUAUAGUCAGCAAAAACUAAAGUUAGUGGAUGGACAAAAGACUCAUUUUUAUGUACGUCUACAUCUAGGGGUUGUGAAAAUGGGUGUCACUUUGGUGGAUGUGGUUGUCACUCCCAGGACUAAGAUGAAAUGACAAACUUUA